ACUCCUACGGGAGGCAGCAGUGGGGAAUAUUGCACAAUGGGGCACGCAAGCCUGAUGCAGCCAUGCCGCGUGUGUGAAGAAGGCCUUCGGGUUGUAAAGCACUUUCAGUAGGGAGGAAGGUAGUGUAGUUAACACCUGCACUAUUUGACGUUACCUACAGAAGAAGCACCGGCUAACUCCGUGCCAGCAGCCGCGGUAAUACGGAGGGUGCGAGCGUUAAUCGGAAUUACUGGGCGUAAAGCGCAUGCAGGUGGUUUGUUAAGUCAGAUGUGAAAGCCCGGGGCUCAACCUCGGAAUUGCAUUUGAAACUGGCAGACUAGAGUACUGUAGAGGGGGGUAGAAUUCAGGUGUAGCGGUGAAAUGCGUAGAGAUCUGAAGGAAUACCGGUGGCGAAGGCGGCCCCCUGGACAGAUACUGACACUCAGAUGCGAAAGCGUGGGAGCAAACAGGAUUAGAUACCCUGGUAGACUGUCAU
rnacentral:rRNA from 1 species